GCUGGCUUCACCGUGGUGCCUAGAUAAGGGCUUAGAAAUGUAAAAAGGCCUGUGGGGAGGGGAUUGGUGUUGGCAAUACCAAGAAGCUUUUUUUGGGGCAGUUUGUCUCUAACAUUCCAGCCUUUUAAUAGGUGCCAGGUGGAGGUGGAUUGCUAGGAGGUUUCCGUGUGGAGCUGCGGCCCCAUGGGCCUGCAGGGCCCCAGAUGACAGAGGAAUCAAGAAGAAAAUUGAAGGUCUGAUGGAAAGUGGUCCUUGGUUAGUGAAGUUGCAUUAGGCAGAUAAUGGCAUAGAUGGAAAAGGAAGAGAAGGAGAAAAUGGUUUAUUGGAAUUCAUUCAAACUUUAACAUGCCUGAUCAAAUACUCUGCCUACUUAAGGGAAAUUGACCUUGGAAACAAUGUUCUGGGAGAAAUGGCUGCUGCUAACAUACUUGAAGCGCUGAGAGCCAGAAAGACAGGUAAACUACCGGUCUUAAAAAUUACAGUCACUCCCCAGAUCUCUUCAGAUACCUUCAGAUCAAUUUGGAAAAAUAGCAAGAAGUCUAACACUAUGCAUAAAAAGAAGAAAAAGGUAAGUUCUUGGACGUCUGUGUCAGUGAGGAGCAGCCACCAGGGAGUGCUGUGUGGAGCCUGGGCCCUUGGGGCAGACAGCACCAUCAGCUGCAGGUUUUGCAUUUGAUUAUAUGAGAAUUUAGGUUCUAGGUCACGCUCCCCUAAACCAUCAUUCCAAUCUGAUGGAUGAUGAUUGAACCAAGAGACAAGUAAGUAAGAGAACAACAGUUUCCUCAAAGAUUGGCACAGACUGGGCCUCCCCUCUUUAAUUCCCACCCCUACCCAAAUCCUAGUUGCUGCUAGCCUAUUGUGGAUCUGAAAAGAUAAAUUUACUUUUAAAUUUACCUAAACUCUUUAUGAAGGCUGUGCUACCUCUUAGGAGGUAAUGCUUUAUAUAUGUUUAUUCUCUACUGUAAGAAGUUGAACUCCCUUUUUUCUAUAAUUUAUGAUUGCCUGUUUAUUAUUUCACAGACUAAAAACUGAAUAUAGGUGCUAUAUUUCCAUAUGGAUGUCAUCUAUUUCCAUGGCCAAGCAGAUACACCCGGAUAGAUAUUGCUUAUUCUAUAGUAAUAUUUUUCACUGUAACCAAGUCCCUUUGAAGUUCUCAAAUUUGAUGAUUAUUGUAUGAAAGUUUAAAGUCAUGUGAUAAUCCUGUCUUGUGAUGAUCCCAUCACACUUGUCAUUUUCUAAAAUGUGGGUUUCACAAGUAGGCCUUAGUAAAAAAAGACGCAAUUCUCUGAGGCUUCAUCUCUCCUGCAUAUGAAAUUUAUAAGUUGAAGGAAAUCAUACUUUUAUCUAAAAAAGAAAGAAUCCUCUUUCAUAAAUAUACCUAUAGUUGGGAACAAUAAGAAUGCUUGGAAAUAAUAACCACUUCCUAAAAGACACCAUCCCUAAAAAUGAGGAUCCUCCCUAAAUGAGGAAACUUUUUUUUUUUUAAGACAGGGUCUUGCUCUGUUGCCCAGGCUGGAGUGCAGUGGCGCAGUCUUGGCUCACUGCAACCUCUGCCUCCUAGGUUCAAGUGAUUCUCCUGCCUCAGCCUUCUGAGUAGCUGGGAUUAUAGGCGCGCACCACCAUGCCCAGCUGAUUUUUUGUAUUAUUAGUAGAGACAGGGUUUCACCAUGUUGGCCAGGCUGGUGUCGAACUCCUGACCUCAGGUGAUCCACCUGCCUUGGCCUCCCAAAGUGCUGGGAUUACAGGCGUGAGCCACAGCUCCCAGCCAAAUGAGGAAACUUUUAAUUCCUCUGCCCCACCCUGAAGAUGCCACAUAGCCCCGUGAGAAAUGGAAGAGGUGUGGUUGAUUGAUAUACAGAUGACAGUGGGUGAGUUGAGUUUUAUAUGCCACAACAAUUAUGGUGCAGGAUGAAGAGCAUGGCCUAGGCAGUUAGAUGAACCAGAAGUCUCUAUGGAGGAACUGCCGCUUUCCAGGUACUGAGCCUGGGCAAGUCAGUUCACCUCAUGCUCCUCAGUUUCCUCUUAUGUAAGACAUAGUUAAGAGUAGCAGGGCUGGGUGCAAUGGCUCAUGCCUGUAAUCCCAGCAAUUUGGGAGGCUGAGACAAAAGGAUCGCUUGAAGCCAGGACUUCAAGACCAGCCUGAGCAACAUAGUGAGACCCCCUAUCUCUACAAAAAAUUUAAAAAUUAGCCAGCUGUGGUGGCAUGUGCCCGUAGGCCUCGCUAUUUGAGAGGCUGAGGCAGGAGGAUUGCUUAAGCCCAGGAGGAUAACACUUCAGUGAGCUAUAAUUGCACCACUGCACUCCAGUCUGGGUGAGGAAGUGAGACCCUAUCUCAAAAAAAAAAAAAAAAAGAGUAGCGCCUAUCUCAAUUGGUGAGCAUUGAAUGAGACCACACAUGUCAAGCAUUUUAGAACAAUGAGAACAAUGCCUUGUUCAUAUUAUACACUCAAAAAUAAAUAUGAGUGGCUCUUAUUAUUGCUGCUGUUAUUGUGGAUGUUAGAAUUGAGUGGUGCCAGUUAUUUCAUCUAUGACAACCACACAAGAAACAUAGGAAAGAAAUGAAAAAAAGAAGACUGAAGACCUCUUCACUUUGAAGUAAAAAUAAAAAACGAAAACUUCAUUCAUUCUAUCUACAAAUUUAACAAGUGCUAGCAAGUUUCUGGAAUCAAACUAACUGUAGGGUAAGAAUGGUAUAGUAAAUUAGCUCCACUCUCCAGGGUCUUAGGAUCUAGCUAAGAAGACAAGAUCUUCGGCCAGGCACGGUGGCUCACGCCUGUAAUCCCAGCAUUUUGGGAGGCCGAGGCGGGUGGAUCACCUGAGGUCAAGAGUUCAACACCAUCCUGGCCAACAUGGUGAAUCCCUGUCCCUACUAAUAAUACAAAAAUUAGCCAGGCGUGGUGGCACAUGCCUGUAAUACCAGCUACUCGGGAGGCUUAGGCAGGAGAAUCACUUGAACCCGGGAGGCGGAAGUUGCAGUGAGCUGAGAUCACGCCAUUGCACUCCAGCCUGGGUGACUAUAGCAAAACUCCGUCUCCAAAAAAAAAAAAAAAAAAGACAAGAUUUUCUUGCAUUAAAAGUGAACAACAAUAAAGUAUAUGACUUGGAAAAAUAUGUGUCAUUAAGCAGGAUAAGAAAGGCCAUAGAGUAACAAGAUCAAUGUAACAAAUUUACCAGAACUGAUGUAUCCAAUAUGUGAGAGCUCCUGAGAACUGUUCCUGCUUAAAAGAAAUGAAAAUAGACUGGGUGGGCACCGUGGCUCACGCCUGUAAUCCCAGCACUUUGGGAGGCCGAGGUGGGCCGAUCACGAGGUCAGGAGAUCGAGACCAUCUUGGCCAACAUGGUGAAACCCCAUCUCUACUAAAAAUACAAAAACUAGCUGGUCGUGGUGGCCCAUGCCUGUAAUCUCAGCUACUCAGGAGGCUGAGGCAGGAGAACAGCUUGAACCAGGGAGUUGGAAGUUGCAGUGAGCUGAGAUCAUGCCACUGCACUCCAGCCUGGCAAAAGAGUGAGACUCCGUCAAAAAAAAAAAAAAAAAUGAAAAUAAAAGUCAAAAAGACCUUUUUUGAAAUUUGCCACACGUAUCCACUGGGUAGGAGUGUAAAAUCAGAAUACCCCUUUAGCGGGUCUUUUGGCAGUGUUUAUUAAAAUGAAAAAUACAUAGCUUUUGACUCGGCCAUUCUACUUUUAGAAAUUUGUUUACUGUCACAUGUGUGCAAGGAAAUAUGUAUGAGGAUGUUCACUGCAGCACUCUUUAUUUUACGUGGGAAAUAACUAAAUUUUUCUCAAAGAGUUUCAGGGGAAUAAAUCACAGUAAAUGUGUGUGGUAGAAUACUAUGCAGUCAUUGAAAGAAUAAUGUGGAUACAUAAGUGCUUAUAUGGAAAAGUAUCCAAGUAACACCAUUUUUAAAAACAGGUGAGAGAAUAGUAUAUGUGAAAAAUUCAUACAAAAAUGAAUUGACAUAGUAUAAUCCAGCAAUUUCACUUGUGUGUAUACAUCUAAAAGAAUUGAAUGUAGCGUCAUUAAGAGAUAUUUGAACACCAUGUUCAAAGCAGCAUCAUUUACAAUAAAUCAAAGGUGGAAGUAACCCAAAUGUCCAUGGAGAGAUGACUGGAUAAAUUAAAUGUGAUAUAUACAUAAAAUGGAAUAUUACUCGGCCUUAAAAACGAAGGAAAUUCUGACACAUGCUACGACAUGGAUAAACCUUUAAGGAUAUUAUGCUAAGUGAAUAAGUCAGUCACAAAAAGACAAAUACUGCAUGCCUCCACUUAGAUACUUACAGUAGUCAAAAUCAGAGACAGAAAGUAGAAUGGUGGUUGGGAGUACGUGUGAGGAGGGAGUUAUUGUUUAAUAGGUACAGAGUUUCAGUUUUGCAAGAUGAAAAAGUUCUGGAGAUUGUUUGCACAACACUGUGAACAUACUAAACACUCCUGAACUGUACACUUAAAAUGGUUAAGAUGGUAAGUGUUACGCAAAUUUUACCACAAUUUAAAAAAAUUUUAAAUUGAUGCAUUGUGUGUCUGCUUGUGCAUAUACAGGAAUUUCUGGAGAGUCUAUUAAUGGUACUUGGGUUUUUAUUGUAUUCCUGUUUCACUGUUUUUAUCAUUUGUGAGCUGUCAAUUUUUAAAAACUUAAAAUUGUUCAAUAAAUUAUGAUGAGCUUGUUAAACAUCUGUAACAGCGCCCUUUGCUUGCUGUGUGACCUGGUGCCAAAAGUGUAGAAGAAGCACAGUAAAUGCUGUGAUUUCCUGGGAGGACAUGAAUAUGUGGUGGCAAAGAGUGGCCAGUGAGAACAGAAAGAUGAGUACAUUUUUUCUAAGCACAGAGGGCAAUCCAGCUGAAGAAGGUAGGGGAAGUUCUAUCCAAUUUCAGAGAUGUUAACAUGUGAGGAAAAGACCAUCCAUGGUACACUUGGAUGACUGUGCAGACCAGUCUCACGAGGAUCCUGCAGAGGGGUGCCGGGGAUGGCCUUGACAGGUAGGUUGGGGCCAUAUUGUGGUGGGACUUAAAUGAACAAUCAGGACAUUUAGAUUUUGUUCUGAUGAUAAUGUGGAGCUUUGGAACAUUUUGAGCAGGAGAGUGUCAGGAGGUAGGAAAAUUAACCAGGCAUGUUAGAUUGAAUGGCAGUUAGACUGGGGAGGAAAGGCAGGGAAGAAGUCAAUACACUGUAAUCCAGAAGCAGGGUGAUGAGGUUAAGCUCCACAAUAGGAAAUGGAAAGUUUGGUUGAUUCUAGAAAUUUCUAAAGAAAGAAUGAACAGAUAAUUACGUAUGAAGGGCGAGGAAGGGAAAGAGUCAACAGUGACCGUGGUUUCAGACCAGGACAGUUAUACCUACGAGAGAAUUACAUCUCAGGCAGAGAAAGGGAAUUGUUGAAAGAAAGCUAAAUUUUGCAAGAAAGGAAAUGAACUCCCUUUCACCUGUCAAGUUUGAAGCAACAAUGAGCCAUUCAAGCCGAUGUCACCAAUAUCUAAUAGAAAAAACUCAGCAAAUUUCAAAAAAGAGACAAAAGCAUACACACAGUGCUAUACUCAUCCGCACCUGCAGCUCAAGAAGAUUCAAUGUGGAGCAAUUUUAGACAAAUGGAUUAAAAUCAAUCCCCAAAACUCUACUUUCUCAGGAAAGUCACCAGGUUUCUAAAGAAGGCAUCAUGAGAUUUAGGCAUGGGUUUUUCUAUUUCAUUUUUCAUCUAUUCUGAAAUAUUCUACAUCACUUCUUUUUUUACAUCCGAAAUUGAUUUACGUCACACAAUUGAUGAUUGAUGUCUACAAUUAAUGAAAUAUAAUGUUGGGAGGAUUUAAGGAAUUCUCCAACAAAGGCUGAUUGCCUUGGUCACAUGUACGCUUUCAGUAUGGGGUGUGUGUGUGUGUGUGUGUGUGUUGGGGGAGUGGGGUGGCAGGACUAAUGAUUUCCGGCCAUAGCACCUUCACCUAAGACCAAGAGAGGCAAAUGAACUGGAGGGUUCCAUGUGACCAAAGAAGACCAGAAAAUGCUCAGGGACCUAUGGACAUAAACACAAUUAUUUCCAAGAAAAAAGAUGAGCCAUAACUCUUGUCUGACAAGUGUGAUGGAGAGCAGACUUGCUUAGAAGGACAUUCCCAGGAGGAGGCAGCUUAUACAUUUCGGGCUAGCUUUGAUCUCUAGCCUCUAGGAACAAUUUUCUUGCUUUGUCAUUAUGGUUCCAAACAUUGGUCCUUUUGGGGAAACUACUCCAGCUCAACAAGCAAAUGUCAUCAGGUUUGUUUUUGUUUUUAUUUCUUUCCCUAGUACAGGAAAGAAGUCCAGAAUAUGCCACUAUAGCAUAAGGAUUAUUUUGAGCUAAAGGCAUUUGAGAAUCAGUGGAUGCAGGAAGAGUUGUUUUAUUUUAUUUUAAUUUUUUCCCUGAACUUACUUGCCUCUCAAAAGAAUUCAACUGUCUUAAAUUCCUUCCCAGCAAUUUCAAAACCAGGGAAGAUUGACCCUAUCUUUAGAAACAGGAAGUUGGUACUGGGAUAAUAAAUCACCUAAUAGACUUUGUCACAAAACUAUCAUAUCUCCCAUCUAUUCUCCCAAAGGCCUGUUUAUCUUUUCUGAAAGUUUUUUCCCAGAAGUGCCCUUUCUCCUUCUCCCUUUCCUUUAUUUAGACAGUAUAUAAGCCCCAAAUUCUAAUUGCUCCUUGAGUCAUAAUUUUCUGUGAACUCUG
rnacentral:lncRNA from 1 species